AACGUAAAUAAAUAAAACGGAGUGACUAUUCGACCGCGCGGCCAAAUUGCCAGUUCUUCUUUAGUAGACUAUUCGCCCGCGCGGUCGAAUAGCCAGUUCUUCUUUAGUAAACUAUUUGACCGCGCGGUCGAAUAGCCAGUUCUUCCUU